rnacentral:lncRNA from 1 species
AAUCGUAAACAAAAUCAAAAUCAAGCAAGAUGCUAAGAGAGUGAUUUGUCACAAAACAGGAGCUUCGGAUUUGAGGGACAAUCUAUUCAAUAAUAAUCUUAACAAGAAUGUAUUAUUAGGCAAACCAGUAAAACGAGAAGUUGUUCAUUCAAGAAAAAAUAGGUUUCUUUUACAGGAAGUUAUUGUGACAGUCCCUUUGUUGACACCAACGUAGCUGCACAAUUCAAGUUAUGCGCAUAUUACGAAUAACAUCAGAGAAUUCUGUUCUAAUAUGUGAAAGCCAAACCAUUUCCUCUCCCUACAUACUUCACUUUCAGAGAUUCUUUUACAACAUAGCAGGGUUAUUACAUCUUAUUAAUUCUUACAACGAGGAAACGUAAUACAUAAUGAGCUUACUUAGUAUCUAUACAAGAUUCUAAAGUGACUUGCACAAUAAAAUCCAAGGCACAGUUUGCAGUUCGUCGGAUUGCGACCGAGGCACCGGAACAGUGACCAUGAUCGUAAAAACAAUAUAACAUUCACACAAAAUGCAAUAUUUGCUAUAGAGAACACUAAUAAAGAUGGCAUAGCAUCAUAUGUAUUUAAACUAAACUACGAGAUAUAAUCAGCUAUAUUAUAGCAUACACGGAGAUUCGAACCCGAGAGAACAAAUAAUACUCUGCACCCCUUCGCAUAAUCAAACAAAAGUAUACCAACACAAAAGGCUCCUAAAAUAUGAUUACGCAAGAACUGCAUCGCUGAAAGGUAUUUUCUGACCGGAAAAAUACCACCCACAAAAGUUAAACACGGUUGCAGGGCAAAAUUGAUCCAACAGAUUUCCAUUAACUUCUUGAUUUAAUCAUUAAGAAAUACGGCACAAAUUUUUUUGCACCAUAAUACCAGUGAAAACAAGUAUAUAGAGUAUUAUCCUUAUUGAUUUUUUUAUGGCUUUCACUAACGAGCCUGUGGAUUCAGUAGGUUGAUACAUCACUCCAAGCAAGUGUUAAUUCAAAUAAACUGCAUUCUUCAAUUUUCCAUUCAAUUGCCAUCAUAAUCAAUUAAUGAAGAGUAUAACCUGUUUCACAACUUCAGAUACCGAAUUCAUUAGUCCAGAUAAUGCUAUCGUUCGUUAAGGUAAUAUGAAAACGAAAUUUGAUGCCAAUUUACACCCAUUACCAGUAUAUGAAAAAAUUGUACUUGCAAUAUUGAUUUUAGAUUAGGUUUAAGAUAACAACCUGAAAAACUUUGUGCAUGGCUUCAAUUUGCUUCCUAUACCAGUUGUAAAGGACUCCAUUUCUGUUACAGAAAAUUAAUAAUCUUCUUCAGCUAAAGUUUAUGUAAGUUAAUUAAUCUCCAAACUUGAAAAGUAUAUUGAAUCCGCACGUUUCUCACUAUUGACAAUAACCGUUGUAUUUCCAAGAACAGACCCGGAACAAAUUAAGCUAGAGUUCUCUAAGGACUUAAUCGAGCCAGCUCAAAAUGAAUAAUUCACGAUAAUAGCCUUUUUCUUGAAAUAACCAAACGAACUCCGAAAAACAACUAAACGCACAGACUCAGAAGCACAAAAGAGCACACACCUCUACAGCUUCGACCCAAAUUACGACCAAGUUGGUAAAUUUACAGGUUCACUUAAUAAUUUAAAAUUUCACAUUCCGAACUACCGAGUAUUUCAUUCCAUUACGAGAUCUGAGUAGUACAAAUACAAGUCUAGUACAGUUACGCAAGCAUAAAAAUCACUGGAAAAAGUACAAAGGGCAAAAUGCAGCAAAAAACCCAAACCACAGUAAGCUCAACUUAGACAGAGAAUAAAGCACUACUCCAUAAAUACAACUUCAAAACAACUCGGAAUCGAUGGCAAUGGCAAAAUAAUAUGCGGGGAAGAAGAAAAUACUAAAAAAAAAAUCAAAAAUUCGGCCAACAUAAAGCAUGUAUAUAACGAAAAUUCAACCAAUAAAAUAAUGACCUUGCUUGGAUUUCUUGAAUCCGCCAUUGCCGUUGAAGCCGCCCUCUGGUACUCCUCUUUUCUUCGCGCCUCCAAACUCCAUUACCGAAAUUCUCUACUUCAAAAUCAAAAAUAGAAAAAACUACAGAAGCUUCUAGAGAGAUAGAGCAAAAAGGUUUUGAAUCUAAUUGAGAAAAAGGAAGCUUCGACACAGAAAUAGAAACUUGAAAAAAAAAAAAAUCAAAUGCGAGAUUAAGGAUAAAACCCUAGAAACUGAAAAAACAUAAAGAAAUACGAAAGAGGGGUUUAAAUGAGGUUCAUAAAAAUUUCACGUGCGCUGCACACUUAUAUAUAGAUUGCUGUCAGUCGCCACGUUUUACCGCCUUAUGUUUUUUCAGCUGGCCGCUUGAUCGGGCCUUUGAGUUUUUAUUUGGGCUUUUUAUUUAGGCUUUUUCCAUCUUUAAAGGUAACCCGAAGAAAUUCAGUAUUUUAUAUAUGGGUAAAUUUUAGGGCUCGUUUGACAUGAUUAAGCGCUGAACGCUGAAUACGUGUCGUGUCUGAAUGAAUAAGAGUUGUGUCUGAAUGCUGAAUGCUGAGCAAUUAAGUCCAUUUGAUAAUUGAAUGUCUGAAUGUUGUUAUCUUCCCAUUAUACCCUUAUUUAAUGCUACAUUUUAUUUGUUAAUUAAUUUUGAUUAACAAAUAUAAAUAAACAAAAAAAAUUAAGUAUGAUCUACAUAAUUAAUAAAAUGUAAAAUUUAAAAUAUUUAACAUAGAUAAAAUAUAAAAUUCAAACAAAUAAUAAAUAUAACAUUCACAAAUAAAAAUAGUAAAAUAUGGAAAUACAUUAAAGUCGCUAAAAUUGAUAUAAAAGAUUAAAGUCGCUAAAAUCAACGUCAAAUAUUUAAUAAAUUCCAAUUGGUCACUCACUCAAUGCAUCAACCGAGUUGCUAUCUCAUCGCGAACAUUAGCCAUAUACUGCAUGUCUUCGACCCCCCACCAUGGUCCGAUAGUUGUACCAUCAUUCUCGUGGUCUUGUCCAUCCUCAUUCGCACCAUCAAAAGGCAUAUUGGGUUGAUCAAGCUCCUCAAAAAAUUUAUCACUAAUACGCUCUUUUCUUAUAAAAUUAUGCACCGCAAAACAAGCAAUCCCUACAUUUCUUUGCACAUCUAAUAAAAAGGGGCCAUCUUUUCUAAAAUCGGAAAUCUAUUUUUCAGAACUCCAUAAGUUCGUUCAAUGACAUUCCUUAGUUGAGCAUGAGCAUGGUUAAAUUUUUCUUCUUUAGUCAAAGCACGUCUACGACGAUAGUCUCCUAACCAAUAUCGUUCAAUGUAUGUAUGCUGCAUCACAAAGAUAAUAUUUACCUGUAAUAAUAAUAAAAAUAAUUUAAGAUCAGAUUUAACGUAUAAAUGAUUAGAAUUUAUAGUUUGAAUUUAAAGUAAUACCAGCGGGAGGCCAUGGAAAACCGUUUGUCGGAUCAGCAACUGUAUCUGUUAAACUCUUGAAUCAUGUGUUACCCCUUCCCAGCCUGCCCAAACGAACGUAAACAUCAUAUUAAAGUCGCAUAUUCCUAAAACAUUUUGAUAGCACUGACCCUUUCCUCUACCCCUGUACAUAGUUUGCUUUGAAACUGGAACAACGACAUGUACUAGUGUUCCAUCAAGUGCACCAACUGCUCCCUACAUUUAGAUGAAAAAUAAGUUACAGAAACAAGAAGAGAAUUAAACAAUGAUAGAAAAAAUGGAACAAUACACAAUAUCUACCUUAAAAAUUCGGUGUAACCUCCUAAAACUUGUCGAAAUAUUUGAAUUCGGGUCAAAUGUUGUUGGUACUAUUAUGUCCAUUGCCAUAUUCAUCAUUGCACUCAACACUUCAUGAAAAUACACAUGAACUGUUUGUGAAGAGUGUUGAAAUCUACGCUUCACUACGCGAAGACGCUUAUUAUGCCCAAUAAUUUGCAAGAACAUUGCCAUUUUUUCUUCUACUGAUACAUGUCUACUAUCAUGCAGCCACCCUAGUUGUCUAAAAUGCAUGCUCAAACGAAUAUAUGCAACACGAGACAUGCGCAUUAAUUCAAUACAUUGUGUGUCUGAUCCAGACAAGAGCUCCAAUGUGUAAGCAUGUCCCGACAAUGCUGAAUUGUUAUCUCUGUUUCUUGGUACGCGCAUCAAAUAUCUCGGACGAAUUUGUGUGUACCAAUAGAUCAUCAUCAAUAUCAUAAUCUCGUAAAUUUCCAUAUUUGACUUGUUAUAAAAAAUGAUCAAUACAUUAAAUAUUUGAUAAUGUAAACUAUCAUUAGCAAAAUACCGAAUCAUAAAAGGAACCUAAUUCACAAGGUAAAUGUAAAACAAGUCUAUUAUUAUAAAAAGUACCAACUAAACAAGUCUUAUACUAAAAUUGAAACUAAUAACAUAAAAAGUUUGCAAUAAUUUACGAAACUUAAAACAAAUCCAUCGUCUUAAAUAAAUAUUACUAAAUUCUCAAAAUUUGAUACAUAAGCCAUUGCAAGUUAAAAUUAAAAACCCGUAUUUUGUCCAAUUCUUUUAAUCCAUGCUUGCAGAACUCCGACAUUAUCCUUAGGAAGCGUCAUCCAAGCUUCUCUAUGUCAUGCACAACUGCCAAAGAUUACAACAGCUGAAACAUAUAAGAUAUCUUCUGUAUCCCAUUCAAGUUCAUCCAAUCUAGCAAUACAAUCUGUAACUGAAGGCCCACUAUUAUUUUUAAUCAUAAACUUCAAAGCUGCUGACAUCUUAUUUAUUAAAUUAUUAUUACCGAGCGAGGGUUGACUGUUUUUUUUUCUUCUUUUUAGGCUUUUCUCCUUGAGACCGAUGGGCGAAAUCAUUAGUCUGAGUCCCUCUAGCUAGUAUCCCUAAAAUUUCCAUCUUCAUCACAAUAAGAAAUAUCUUCUAUGUCUCUUUGUUCCACAUUCCGGACAUUACUCGAAGAAAAUGAGGUAACACCAGGAUUUUGAUCUUGGGAACUAGGUCCCCAAGAAUGAACACCAGUAGUAGUGGCACCGUCGAAUAGUGCUCUACAAAGGUCAGAAUAAGGUAGAUGUGCAAGUCUUAAACUCUUUGCCUUAGGAUGAGCCUCUAUUGAAGUAUCAAAUUAUAAUUCUUAAUAAAAUCUUAUAAUUACUAAUAAAAGUUAGAUAAAACAAUAAAAACCUAAACAAUAAACCUUUAUAUACUCUGUCCACUAUUCCUUUGUCAUGUGAUAGUGUUGGUGGCAAGAUUGUAAAUAUUGCCUGUUUUCAUAGUUAACGGCAACCAAGCUUGAUACUUUUGUUUUAAUUAGUCAUAUCGAUUCUUCAUUUGUCUUUGACAAACCACAAAGUUAUGAUUUUUCUUCAAAGUGUUCAUAAUUGUGGUCCAAGAUUCUGACUUCAGACUACCUCAUUCUCUACCAUUUAGAGCAACUUCUUGGAUACACGCUUCGAGAAAACAUUUAUCUACUUUACUGUUGUUCCAUCUGACUCUAUUAUUUUCAUCUGAUUCUUCCAUUCCUAUAUUCAUUAAUAUUUAUUCUUCAAAGUUAACCCUCACGAGUUGUGAUUCAAAAAAUAGAACCAAAUGUCACGAUGGUAUUGAUAAUUUACAAUUAGUCGAAGCUUCAAGAGUAGUUUUUGUAAUGUACGAUUUUUUUUUAAAUGCUAAAUAGAUGAAUGCUAUGUAAUGAGAUAUUGCAUGCUUAUCGUAUCUUUAAUUACGUAUUUUUAUUUAUGGAUCAUUGGACUAAAGAAAUAUUUCUUUAUUCCACUUGAGUUUAGAAAACAAAGUAAAGGGAUACAAAAACCAAUCAAUCUUCAUCGGUAUGUUAUUCCUAUUAUUUUUUAUCAUCUUCUCUGUUAUUCGAUUGAUUAACUUAUAUAUUACCACACAUAACAUCACAUCCCUGCUCAAUUAUAUAUUGAUUUGUGUAUAAUUAUAAAGUUUAACUUAAAAACGGACUGUCCGAUUUAAGCAAAUAACCGGAUGCCAUUGAUGUGAAGACACGUGUCUUGGAAAUCUUAAAACUGAAUUGAAAGAUGUGAGUUAUUACAAUACCAAAGCACGUUGUUUUAACUUUUUCCUUGAUUUUUUAUUCUCACAUUUUUUCAAUAAUAAUUAGGGAUGUAAAUUUUCCGAUCUAAUUGAAUUUAGCACAUUUAGAAAAUUCUAAUAGUUUGAGAAGUGAAAAUUUAAUUCCACUUCCCCUCGAAAAACAAUUAAAAAUCGGAAUCUAAUUUUCAAAAAUUGGAACUGUAAAAUUCCAAAUCAAAAUAAAUGAAUUUCAAAAUAGACUUUUCCACAAACACGACAAUGCAAGUCUAAUGUAAAAGAAAUUUAAAUCACAAAUACCUGUAAUAAGUAACCAUGUCCAGAACAACUCCAAAUAUUGAAACUUAAGUAUGUAAGAGUGAAAUUAAGUACGUUACUUUUCAUGUAAUAAGUGGACUAAUAAUCUAAUGAUAUGCCUAAUUGGCCCAACCCAAUGAGCCUACCAAUUAUUUAUCUACUGGGCCACAAACCCAAUAUCGAAGACCACUAUCACCGAGGCCCAAUCACCUUCAAGCAAGGUUUGGGCCCGACAAUCUCAACUAAGCUAUAAAUACACAUUUGAACUCAUUCCAUAAGGUACGUCCUAUUAACUGAGCAAUACUAUUAUAUGUAUUCUCUGGACUAUUUCUAUGAUCAGCACGUCUAACUUGAGCGUCGGAGGGGUUUCCGCCGGAUCAACCCCCGGCCUAGUUCACGUGUUCUAUGAUCGCAGGUACCUCAGGAUCAUCAAGUUGUCAAGCUACUGAUCCGUUUUGCUCUCCCAGUUCGUUUUCUACACUACCCCAGGUGAUCUAAGUAUUUAGCAUCAUCAUAAUCAUAUUUCACCCACCACAAAAAUCAACAUUAUCAAUACAAAAAUCUUUGUGUAGGCCUUUCAAUUUUCCAAUGUUCUUAUUUUCGAUUCAUAACCAAACAAGCAAUUCAGUACUCCUAAUUGAUAUACAUACACUCAUAUUACUACUAUUCAAAUUUGAAUGUCGAAUUAUAAACCCUAACCUUGAUUCAGUUUCCGUGCAAACCAACCGUCUAAUGCAUCAAACACAGAGCUGGAAAAAUUAGAUUCAUAACCUAGCUUUAUCCAAUAGAAAAUAAAAAAUUAAUAAAAUAAAUAAAUGAAAAAACUUACUCGGGAAUUUGAAGAAUUGUCUUGCAGAGUUCUUCUAUGGGUUUUAAUGAUGUGUGAGAAGUGGUGAUGAAAAGACUCGUAGGAGGAAUAUAUUUUAUGAUGGUAGGGUUUGGAAUUUACAAGGUUAUUUAUGGGUAAAAGAAAUAAAAAAAAAUAUCAGUAAGAAAUAAAUCUUUCAGUUAAGAGAUUCCCUCCAAACACGCUAAAUAUCAUUAUGCUGACCGAAUCAGCGGAAAUUACUCAUUAAGAGGUCAAUAAGAGGUAAUCAAACGGGCCCUUUGUACCUUGACUCGGGUAUAUUUUACAUCGAUUUUAUAUAUGGGUAUAUUUUACAUGGAUUUGCCCCGCGUACUUUAAGCUCUGAAAUUACAAAAACGACACAUCUUCCAGUUUAAAUAAUUAUUAAAAAAUAAAAUAAACCAUAAAAAAUAUUCAAAACAACGAGAAAACAUAGUCCACGACGCCAACCACAAUUUAUUUUUUAUUUUUUUAAUGAUCAAUUAAACUGGGAGCUGAGGGGUGGUUUUUUUUUUUUUUUUGUAAUUUUCAGACUUAGAUCAAAAGGUGUUAAGGUCAAAUGUAUGAAAACUAACGGCGGGGGCCUCAUUGAGAAAAAAAUUGAAGUACAAGGGGCAAAUCGAUGAAAUCGGAAGUAUAAGGAGAUAAAGUGAUAUCGAGCCAAAGUAAAGGGGGAAAGUAAAAUUUACCCUUUAUAUAUUUAUUUACGGGUGCCCAUUGGGUUUUUUAACCGACCGAACCGCGCCAGUACGUCCAAAUACUUAUUCGAUAAUUUGGUUUGGUAUUGGGUUUUGAAUUUCCUAAGUUUCUGUAAUUUGAUCUACCGUAUGCUUCUUUAAAUCGACCGAACCACGCAUAGUAGAAAAUUUAACAUGUAUCGAAUGUUGAUCCGAUAAUUCAUUUCAGUAUUCGGUUUUUUAAUUCCGAAUUUGGUAACUUUGUUUUAUCGAAUGCCCAAAUUUAAUUUUUAUAUAGUAUUUUAUAUGUUAUUAAAAAAAACUCAUAAUCUAUUUAUAAAAGCUUUCGUAAACAACACCUAUAUAGAUAGGUAUAUUGUAUAAAUAUUUACUCUUGCCCAAUAAUUUGCAAUCAAGUUAAAUUUGUAUAUGCAUGACAAACUUCACCUAGAAAACAUUGAGAUUACUAAUAUAGAGUUUUACUCUUAGUUCUUGAUUAUAUGAGAAAGCCUAAUUGGUCAAUUGACAUUAUUAGUCAAAUGAAAAAAUCCGAUGGCAAUGUUCGGAUACGUUUUGGAAAGUUAUUCUUAUUUUAUUCUCGAAAAAUAUAUUUCGAGAGAAUAAUAUUGAAGAAUGAAAGUAACAUUUUGUUUAUAAGUUGAAAUGACACAAAAUACACUUUAAAUAUUUUUACUGCAGCAGCUGCAUCAUAUCUAAAGAAGAGAGAAACUUGAAAAGUUGUUUUCGAUUUUUUUUUUUGAAAACAUUAAUACACACGAAAAAAUUAAAGUGAGAUAAAAACGUAACCAAAAUUUACCGAUAUUUUUAUUGCUAGCAAAAUUGAGAUAGACAUAAAGGCUAAAGCAUGAAAAAAGAGAAAAACAAGAAGGAACUAAUUACAUAAAGUGCCCAAAUUUAAACUCUAUUCACCACUCGGUCCUCACUCGGCCCAACCACACUUUUAUCCCUAACAAUUUCACCCACUUCCACUUCUUCCUCCUCCUCCUCCACCUCGACUUCGUAGCUGCCGCCGCCGCUCUCGACGAAACUCACACCCUUGUACCACUUGGCGCAACCCAGGUAGAUCAUAAAGUCAACGGCGGUCAAAGCAGCGAUCAGGAAGUAGAACCUGUCCAUGUGGCCGGCGUUCAGAUCCUCCGGUAUCCACCCCGGCAUGUUGUUCCUCGUCGUGAUUCCGGUGACCAUGUUCAUCAGCAAGCUGCUGACGAAGUUCCCGAGGGAGAUCGACGCCAUGCACAGCGAGCUUCCGAAGCUCUUGAUCCCGUCGGGCGCCUGCCCGUUGAAGAACUCCAGCUGCCCGACGUACAUGAACACCUCCGACGCGCCGACCAGCACGUACUGCGGGAUCUGCCAGAACACGCUGGUGGAGCUCGACCGCUGCCCGGGGACGACCCCCCUCAGCCGCGCGAUCUCCGUCAUCCCGGCGGCGACCAUCGCCAUCAUUCCGAUGAUCAGACCGAUGCCCAUCCGCUGGAGCUCCGUCAGGCCCUUGGGGUUGCCGCUCAGCCUGCCGGCGAGUGGGACCAGGAUCUGGCGGUAUAUUCCGGUGCAGAGGAGGACGCUGCAUAUGUCGAACACCGACAUGCUCGCCGCCGGGAGGUGGAAGUUUCCGAUGGCCGUGUCCAUCACCUCCCCUUGCUCGACGAACAGGGACGCCAUCUGGGUGAACACCACCGAGUAUAUGAUUGUGCAGAGCCAGAUCGGCAUCAUUCGGAUUAUGCACUUUGCUUCCUCCACCUGAGAUACGGUGCACAGCCGCCAUGGAUUCUUCCGCGCUCCGCCGUCCUUUUCCGUCACUAUCGCCGCCUUGUCCAGACACCUACGAAAAGAUUUUUUCAGAACAAAAAAAACUAUCAGUCAAAUUGAAAAGUAAUUUAUUGCAGUUAUACCCCUAUUAUUAUAUCAAGUUUGCAAAAAACACCUCAUAUUAUUUUAUUGGCAAAAACACCGUUUGUUUGAUGCUACACCUGGCGAAAUACAUUGGGUGAUAAUUAAUUGUUGAUCUGCACACACUCACACACACCCAUGUGUAUGUGUGCUUAAUGGGAAGUUAUUUCACUAUAUCAACGGUUAAUAAUUACCCCGUGUAUUUCACCAGGUGUAGUAUCUCAAAGACGAACCUGCAAUGUUACGGGCAAUUUUUGAAUCAUGGUAGCUUUUUUGUCGAUAAAAUAAAAUUAUGAGUUUCUUAACAGUCAUUAAUUUAGAAUAUUAAUGGCAAAAUUGGGAAAAUGAGAACAAAUGAAUAAUUGAAACUCUAAAGUGACAAAUAAUUAGAAACGCGUACUCGAAUUCAUCGGUAUGAAAAAUCUUUCGACUCCCUUUGAUCGCAGACUCGGUUCCACGAAGCUCAUACAACGCAUCACCCGGCUUGAGAGCCGCCCCCCUCUUCUUCACCGCCGCCACAAAAACCUGUGCGACUCUCGGAAUAGGGUUCCCACACGGCUUAAGGUACCGAUACCUCGGCGAACCGAGCAAAAAAGUGACGAGAGCAAGCACCGCAGAGGCCGUAGAAGCCCAAAACCCUAGCGUCCAUUUUCCGGUGUCCUCAAAGUAGACCAAAAUCGUGUUUGAGAAAAGUGACCCCACGUUGAGCGCGAAGUAGAAGUAGCAGAAGAACGCCCCUUUCGCGUUUUGGUACUUUGGGAUUGACUCGUCAAAUUGAUCGGCUCCGAAUGUGGCUAUAGUCGGCUGAUGGCCACCGUAGCCGAGCGCGACUAGGUAAAUUGCCAAAUAGAAUAUUCCCGAGCCGACCGGACUCGGCGGUUGGCAUUUUUUUUGGCCGUCGCCACAACCACUAGGCUUGAGCAAGAGUAUAUAAGACGACAAGGACACAAGCGUCAGUCCCUGAAAAAAAAGACAAAAAUGCCCUCAUGUGAUGUUCCGAAGUGCUAAGAAGUUAAUCAUGUUAUUGAGGGGCAUUUUAGUCAUUUCAUAUGACGAUUCGGUAAUUAUUACCGCGACAAAGAUGACUUGAAAGAUGGCGCAAGUGAGAUAACGGCCCCAAUAAGAAUCGCUAAGGAAAGCUCCGAUGAGGGAGCACAAGUACACGGUUCCGGUCCAAAUGCUGACAUUGUUAGCUGCGGUAGCGUUGUCUUGUCCGAGGACUCGAGUUAAGAACAAAACCAAGUUCACUCCAACGCCAAAGAACGCGAGUGUCGCCAGCCCUUGAUUAGCUGCACUACCAUAAACCCGAUUUUCGGUCGAAAAAAUAAAAAUAAAUCCAAAAAAAUAAAUAAUUUGUAGUGAAAACAAUUAACGAAAUCGAUAUUCUUGGAACUUAUUUAGUAUAUACCUAGUAAAAUUAACCCGAAACUCCACCCUCCUCUGGCCUUCUUCUUGAUGCCCUUUGUAGAACUUUUGUUACGCGCGGUUUCGUCUCUCUGAAAAAAAAUCGUAAUUACAGCUUAUUAAUUUUUGCAAUAAAAUUAAAGCUAUUUAUCUUAAAGGGAGCAAAAAAUUGCGAAUACCAACCGUUGGUGAAGCGUCCAUGUUUAAGGUGAUAUUAAUCUGCAAUGUUAAUAACAAUACGAUUUCGUUAAAGAUGAAAAUCGAAUUAUACGAAAGAAAAUCGAAAUCAAGGAAAAACGCAACAUAAUGAAGAACGUAGCACGAUUAGAGUUUGUAAUAAAAAGUCGUCCACGUCUCGAAUUAGUUAGGUUUAGUUAUCUUUCAGCUUGUAAGUACUAUUAGUUAGUUAGCUUUAAUUACUAAGUCGGCUGGUUUAAUUGUAGUAUAAAUACAUUUGUACUGCACACAUUCAUCAAUUAAUAUCAAGUACAACAUUUUUAGUUCUCUUUCACAUUUUUUCUCCGAGCUCAAAGCCUCAAACCACCCUUGUAAUGGCAGUUAUUAAUAGGGUUUGAAUUCAAUAUAGUAUGAGGAGAACCUUUUUUGGACAGUAUAGUAAAUAUAGAGAUUUAAAAAGAAAAAACCCAAUGAACGACAAUAAAAAAAAAAAAAAAGGUGUAAAUUACGAGAAUUCCCCUGAACUGAUUACGAGAAACACCCCACCAAUCCAUAAAGAAAAUGUCAUGUCUGUAGUGGUAGAAAUAUUCCCUUAAACAAAAAGAUUAUGUGAAAAAUCACACCAGAAAGGGUCGGGGUAAGAUUGAAACAAGCGUUGAGAGGAUUUUAGUAAUUACGGAUAGGUGGGGUAAUUUUCGUUAUUUAAUCUAAGUUUAGGGUCAUUUUUGUAAUUUACCCAAAAAAUUGAAUUGCAUGCAUGAGUCAAUUUUACUUUUGGUUUUCUUAGUUUACCAAAUAAAAUUCAAUAGAGUAUAGAUCAUAUAUAUUAUAUAUAUUCAUUUAAAUAAAAUAAUACAUUUUGUGCAAGAUCUAAUAUAUAAUAUUUAGAAGUAACAUCAAAAUUCCACAAUGUACGUCCUUACAAAAUUAUAAUAGGAUUAAUUAAUUAAUUAAAUAAAUAAAUAAUACCUUUUCCUGAACUUGAUGAGAGAUUGAAGGAGGAGCGCCGGGAUAGUAUCCGUCGGUGAUUGCCUCUCGAUAAACACUCGGAUCUCCGGGAAGAACUCAAUGCCAGCAAAACCUAUUGUCAUUUACAGUAAAAAAAAACAGAUAAAAACAAAACCUCCAAAUUUUACGACCGAGUGAACCAAUUUUGUCGAAACAAUUUCGGCUUAUGAAAUUUACUAUUAUUUAGAUCUAUUUCUCUUUUGCUUAUAAGAAAAAAGAGUGAUCGAUGAACCCUUGAAGCUUAUUGAAGAAGGUGAAGUGAAGCUUAUUAUUUAGAUGUGUAUAUAUAUAUAUGUAUGUAAAUAUGACAAUGUGGAAAAGAAAGUGAAAGUAUUUCAAGAGUGUUGUGUAAUGUAACAAACUCCUGUAAUGAAGCUCCUUCUUUUGCUCCACUGUCACCAUUUUUCACUUUGAUUUUUUCAAUACUUUUUAUUUGGAAAUUGUUUGGUUGCAUUUCAUUCCCCUCAAUUCGGCCACUAAUUUUUAUUACAAGAAGUUUGCACAAUUUUUAGGUAACACCCUGAGGUAAGAUUAAAUUAACCCUGAGGUAAGAUUAAAUUAAAAAAAGAAAAAAAAAACCAUAUUUUUCGGUUAAUUACAACAACCUCCUCAACUGUGUAUUUUCUUACAAAACCUCCUCCAAUUUUUAAAACGAUUCAUUUUUUUUUAUAAAUUAUUAUGUUGGGCAAAUUACAGCCAACCCCCUAUGUUAAGAUCAAAUUACAAAAAUCACCCUCCUGUUUGAGUAACUCAACUAUGUAUUAUAUUACAAAAAAACUCCUCCUCAGGUAAAUUUAGGGAUGUAAGAAACAUAACCGAAAUUUUUGUAUGCCAAUAUUUCAUAUUGUUUACCGAACCAAAUAUACAAUUUGAUUUAGUAAUAACUGAAUUACGUAAAUUUUAUUGAAAAUAUUUAAAAUGAGAAAGUGGUUGUAAUUACCCAAACAAUGGGGUUUUUUUUGAAAUUUAAUCUUACCUCAGAGGUUGACCGUAAUUUGCCCUUAUUAUGUUUAGACCCCUUAAUUCUAAAAUAACAAAUUAAAAGUGGCAUCUUUCAACCAAUCUAAAAUGUUUGUCUGAUCAAUGCUGUCAAAACAAUAUCACAUAUAAUACAAUUAGACCAGAAAUAUUACCAAAAAUCAGAAAUCUUGUAGCAUAACUAAUCAACCCUAAAGCAAAAAGCUGAUUCAAAAAAGCUAAAAGCUAUAAUUUUGCUUGUAGUAUUAUCAAGCAAUUUCACAAAACUAUAUAUACAUGCAUGCCAUAACUUACAAAAGACCAGCUUUCUUUAAUUCUUGCGGGCCCCACAAUCACCGUUAUCAGUUACGCAAGAAUACUGCGUCGUGCGGCCAGAAUUUCUCAAGAACUUCUUAACCACAGCUGUAGGUAUAAAUUCCGGAUCACUUAGAAACGCUACGGUCGGGCUAAAACUUUCGACUCCCGUUUCCGGUUUCGCCCUUGCAUAAUCUGCAUUAGUUGAUGCAUCCCGUUUUGGCAUUCUUUCGUCACCCUCGGGCACCAUAGUCUUCAUCAGCUGCAAAUUUCAAGAAACCGCGGUCAAAUUACAAAGAUACCCUUUUUAGUAUGUGCUUAACUCAAUUUCAAGAACCAAAUUUAUACCGCCACAAAACAAAAUGACUAUUAGCAGCUAAAAAUUUAAAUAUUGAUCAAAUAAAAUACCUUCCAAUCAUCAAAGUCGAAUCGGAAAACGAAUUGGUGGGUUUUAGCGACGCCGCUCUUAAUUUCUUCUGCACUUGGACCAUUAGCUGGGACUGCGAUAUGAAUUAAAAAAAAAUGGAAUUAUAGAUAGGAACGAUGCCGAAAAUGGAAAAGUCGAGAAAAAAAUUAUUAUACCUACGACUUGAGAGCCAGUCUCGUCGACAUUUAUUAUAGCUCUGCCAUCUCUUACCAAGAAAGACAGCGCAAAUAAGUUCUCAACUGUCUGAGCGAAAGAAUUUCGGUUCAACAUCAGAUUUUCGACUUUGACAUUUUUCUCCUUCUUUAGUAUCUCAAACAUCAAAUGCAUGUUUGUAUCCGUUUCCGCGACCACCUUAGCUUCUUUCUCGAUCUGUUUGCCAAAAGAAGGGAGGAUCAAAAUCGAAUCCGUGGAUAGAGAAACAAAUUACUAUAAAAAAAACGGUGAAAAUAAUACCUCGUUUGGUCGAGCGUUAACUGUUGGUCUCGAUCUCUUUGCACGAACCGACGACUUCCGUUGCUUAAGCUCGUUCUUCAUAGGUCCAAUCCUAGAGGAACAAAAAAAAUCAAGAAAAUAAGAAACAUAUUUUCACUAUCGAAAAACAUACAAAAAAAAUACGAAAACACGUACAUUGUUGUGCAGCCUGGUCCAUUCAGGAAUAUAGGUGAAACGAGAGAGCCCAUAGUUUGCCAUGAAAUAUUCGGUGAAUUGUCCGAAGUACCCUUGGUGGGGUUUUUGAAGCCGAAAUUCUUGAUCAAGGAGGAAACAAACUCGGCCGGAGAAACGCUUCCACUAGUAUGUGAUUUAACAGAGUCGACUAAAAUGUUAGCCAGUCCAAGAAAAGCCUCUGCGUCUGCCACCUGUUCCCUCGGCUUUUGAACUGAAACAAUAAACACUAUUAUGCGUUAAUACAGCUAACGUAAAACUGUACAAACUUAUGAUGUAUUGUCUUCGCAGAAAUCUUCUACAUGUCAAUAAGAAUAUCAAAACAGCUUAAUUUGAAAAGACAAUUUUGCCUUCAUAGGAGUGAUGAGCAAUGCAAUCGGUAACAAAAAGCGAAUUUUGGUGCGGUCGUGAAAAAAAAAAAUUGUUAAGGUGGCAAAGCGCAAAACGGGCCGAAGUACGGGUGGCAAAAUGUUAAUUACCCUCGAAAAUAAGCCAAAUCAAAUGCAAAUAAAAUGCAGUAGCAAGUUUAAUAAAUCCCCCAUUAUCAUAAUGAAAAUAAAAGAAUUUCCACUCCAACACACACACACACACACACACACACACACACACACACACACAGAAACAGAGUAUGGGAGAAGAGUAAUAAUAAUACCAUGUUGAUGUAUGUUUUCUACUUCCUUCAUAAUGGCCAUGAACUUCUGCGAAUCGACGUUUGCUAUUUCAUCUUUUCUCUCUGCAUUCAGUAAUUUUAUAAUAUAUCAAGAAAACAAGUACUCAGCUUUAAACAAACCCACAAAAAAAAAUCAAUAAAUCAAUUAAAGAAUUCCAUUAAGGGUUAAAAAAAAAGAAAAUCAAGAAGAAGAUAUGUAAAAUACCAUUGAUGCGGUGUUCGAUUGAACGGUAUUUUGAGCGAAUGGUUCUACGUUUCGACACGGAAUCGGUCUCCUGAGUCAACUCGUCGUCUUCAGAAACCCUGGAAUCUCCACCAUUCUCUCUCACUCGUUCCCUCUUCAAAUUCCUCUCCAUCUCUCUCGCACUUCACUCUCUCUGGGUGUGGAGAAUAAAUUAUUUUUCAAGAAAGAAAGUUUUUAAUAAUUUCAGAGGAGAUUUGAAAGGAAUUGUGGUUGUUGUUCUUGCAUCGAGAAGUGUGUGCGGCAGAAAGAUUUUUAUGGAAUGUUUUAAAGUUUUCCCUCUCUUUUGAAAUGUAAUAACCGGGAAGCUUGUCUUGGAAGUAUCCAUGAAAUAUAAUUAGGUAUAAAUAUGGAAAGAGGGAAAAAGUUGUGGGCUUUGUAGUGGACAUAAUUGCAUUUAUUUAUGGGGCUUCAUAUAUAUACGCAAACAUAUUUAUAGGUUAUAUAGUAAUUUCCAAGAUAAUUUCAAAAGAGUUUUAGGCUAUGUUUGACAGAAUUAAGCACUGAACACUGAAUGCUAAAUAUAUGACUGAAUGGUUAAGAUCAGUGUUUGAAUCUGAAUAUUGAAUAAUUAAGUUUGUUUGACAAUGAAAAUUUAUAGUCACUGAAUAACAUAUAAUUUUACUAUAUUGUCCCUCGUAAUUAUUGAACAUAUAUUUAUUCACUAAUAGAAUCAUCACUAAUAUCUAAAAUAAAAAAAAUAAUUAUUAUCACCCUUGUAAUAUUAUAUAUAUUUAUUUGGAUAAAAAUAAUAAUUGUAAAUCUAAAUCCUAUAAUUGAAAAAUACGAAAAUAAAAUUUCAAUAUAAUUUACAAUUUUCAUUAAAACCCCAUAAUCCCUAAAAAAUGAAGAAAGGGAAAUAAAUUAAAUUUCACAAUAAAAAUUUGAAACAUCUGGCACCUAAAAAGUAAAAAUUCUCCACCGCUACUUUAUCUCUCUUCAGCGCAUACUCAUUUGUGUAUUUAAAUGUAACUGGCCGAACACAAAACCUCAUCAACUACAAUUGCUUCCUCGAACCAAGAGACACGGAAUUUAUGGGGAUAAUUUUGUCUAAUUUUCAUUCAGUUGACUGAAUGAAAAUUAAGAGUGUUUGGUACAACUCUGACCGGAUUCAUCUCCCGCUUAUCGAUUCAGUCAAAACAUUAGGACUUAAUGGUUAUCUCUGACCGAAUCAGAUAUUAGGAGCAUUAAGAGCUCAUUACGAGCUAAUCAAACAUAGCCUUAAAUCAUAACAAAUUCUCUCAUUUUUUAUCUACAAAUUGUUAAGUUUUUUUUUUUUUUUUUUUUCGAUUUUAUCAACCACGAAGCUAAGAUAAAAUUUCCGUUUCAAGUAUUUUGUUAUUCUGUGAUGGUUUACACAACAUGGUUUCUAAUUUGUUUUUUUUUUUUUUAAAUUGAAUUUUGUUUUUAAUGAAACAACAACAUAAUUGAAGAUUAUUCUUCGAGGUUACACCUGUGUUAGAUAGUAGAGAGACAUAUAUUAAGGUGGUGUUUGCAAAUGAUUAUUUAAAAGCAGAAGUUAGUGAUUGUGAUUUAAGUUAGUUUUAAGUGCUUAUUUCUAAAAGUUGGGGGUGUUUGCAAAUAUUUCGGAAAAUGAACUAAAAUUGAAAAAACAGGGUUAGGGGUGCUUUUAAAAAAUAGCUUAAAGCAGAUUAUUUUAAGAGAGGCAAAACCAAAAGUUGAUUUUGCAAACACCUAAAAACAGAUUAUGAGCAAAAAAAACCGCAUAAUCACUUUCAAAAAGUAUUUGCAAACACCACCUAAGUUUUCGAAAGAAAGUAAGAAACUGCUAUUAGUCGUGGCAUGCGUUUGAUAAAGUAUUUUAAAAGAGCCGAUGGAUAGUACGUGUGUGUGAGAAGUAUGGAAUUGAAUCCCGGGACAAAGAAUGCAUAUGUGGUGACUCCAUAAUCGACUUGAUGGAUUAUGACGAUUUAAAUUGUAAGUGAAAAUCAUAAUCACGAUUUGAUAAAUUAUUCGCAUAGACAACUUUCGACCAGUCGUUUGACUCAAGAGCAGUACGAAAUAACAAGAGUUUUUACAAAAAGCCACGCGAAACCGAUUAUAAUUUUGGAUCAUUUCAGAAAGAAGUUGCCGUAGACUACGUACGAUCGAGCAGACAUAAUUACAAUGUGUAGGCGAAGAUAAAAGUAACGGAACUGGGGGCGGGCGAUUGUGCAACAAUUGAUGCAUAAAUUCCAACAAAAUGAGUAUUGCCGCUGGCAUUGAAAAAAUAAAGUGGGAAAUACAAUGACCGACGUUAUGUUUGCGCACCCCAAUUCAAUCAAACUUUUGCGUUUAUUUCCAUAUGUUAUAUUGAUGAAUCUAGAGCUUUUAUCUGAUCUCGGAUCAUGCUCACCUUGAUCCCGCCCUUGUUCCAAUUCGCAUAUAACUCCUCUACGUCGACUCCUAACAAUCCAACAAGAGCAUGUGCACACUCAUCCUGUUUUGGAAAACCAUCCACUACCUAGCCCUUCACACUCAACCUCAUAAUCAUAUGCACAUCAUGGAGUGUGAUCGUCAUCUCUCACUACGACAUGCGGAAAUUGUUCGUGGAGAGAUUUUAUAGAUUACGAGAGUUUGAGAAAAUGUUAGAUUUUGAGAUUUUUAAAAGCUAAUUAGAAUAAAUAUUAAAAUUACUCCGUGACCUAUUAAUUUUAACUCAGUUGAUAUCAUUUCAGUUCAUUUCUUUAUUUUUAAUUUAAAAUUAUAUAAUUGCAUUAUAUAUAUCAUGAUUUUUUAGGUAUAAUGAGCUUCAUUUUUAUCAAUUGCAAUGCUAAUAUAAAAGCAAAUGUUUAAAAAUAAAAUUUGCUCAAUAUGAAUGAACAAAUUGAAACUAAGUUUAAUAUAUUCGAUUAGAUAUUUAAAAUAUAAUGUUUUAUUUAGAUUUAUAUUGAUAAAGGAUAUUAUACAAUUUUCUUAUAAUUAAAUAUUAAAAAUUAAAUAAAUGUUAUAUUAAUUAAUGAAUAUUUUGUUAUAGUUCAAAAUAUGAGAACAUUUUUAUAGGAAUUACUAAUUUCUACAAUUAGAGCACUUUUUAAUAAAUAUGGCAAAAUGUGCAUAUUUGAAAUUUGUUUGAAUUUAAAAUUUGUAUAUUUUGUCGAAAUGCUAUUAAUUAUUUUGAAUUGAUAAAUUAUGAUGACAGUGCGUAACUAGGCAUAAUGUGCACAUAUUUAUUGUUAAAAAAUUUAGAAAUUUUAAGUGAAUUAGGUGGCGGAUAAUAUAUAUAUAUAUAUACAAAUCAACCGACCCAUUCCGAAACGACUAUUCGGUUGUCGAUCGUUAACCAACUCACAAAGAUUAGAUCAACAACGAUACUCAAGUUUUAACAACAUCAGUUUAUUGGAUGAGUCUAUCCUUAUUUCGAUAGUCAACCGACCCAACUCGUUCGCAACCCUAUAUAAUAAAAUUAUUGAUUUAAUUAAAAUAAAAAUAAUUAUUUUUGUGUGCAUGUAUGAACCCAGAUUAUAUAUUUUAAUUUAUAUAAAUCUUUCAUACUUGUAAUACUUCUCAACACCACAAAGCCCCAUUUUGUGCAUAUAAAACCAAAUAGGUAACACAUA